UUUCCUUCUGAAAAACUGACUCAAGGAUAUUUUAUAAUAGGAAUGUUUUUGGGAGGCCAAGGCAGGCAGAUCACGAGAUCAAGAGAUUGAGACUAUUCUGGCCAACAUGGUGAAACCCUGUCUCUACUAAAAAUACAAAAAUUAGCUGGGCAUGGUGGCACGCACCUGUAGUCCCACCUACUUGGGAGGCUGAGACAGGAGAAUCACUUGAACCUGGGAGACGGAGGUUGCAGUGAGCCAAGAUCGUGCCACUGCACUCCAGCAUUGUGAAUAGCGAGACUCCAUCUCAAAAAAAAAAAAAAAAAGGAAUGUUUGCAUUGCUAUAAUUGAUGGAAAACCCUCGUAGGCCCUCUCUUGUCUUCCUGUCUUCAACUGCAUCUUCAGUAAAGUCUGCUAUUUUCACUUCUAUUUUGUUGUUGUUGUUUUAAUGAGGAAAUGGUUGCACCAAGAAGAUACCCAACAGAAUCUGGAUGCCCAGAAACAAGACCUAAGAUGACAUUUCCUACUCUGCCCCUUUGGAAGUUCACAGAAGUCUUAGCGUGGACCUUGAACCCUCAUCAGAUGUAGAAUUGCUGUUAGAAUCCCCUACAGCCUUGGCCAUCAGUGAUGGUGAAAGCAACAGAUGUCAGAUGUCAGCCCCUGGCUUCCUGCCUUACCGUAGAGGGAUACUCGACAGACAGACUGGACAGAUCACUCAUGCUGGGGAAAGCCAGGUGUCAUGUCUUGGGGAAUCCAGGUGUUAUGUCUUAAGGACAGGCUGGCAGACCUGUGCAUACGCCCAUGUAGCGAGAAACUAGACCCUCAGCUCAAGACACUGAAAGAAACCUCAUGAAACAACUUGAAGCUCUGACCCUGAACCACCUAGCUAAACUGCUCUUAGAUACCUGAUUCUCAGAUACUAUUGAGAAAAUAAACAAUAAUUAUUUUAUGUUGCUACAUUUUGGGAGUAAUUUGUUACAUGAUAAUAGCUACACGUUGAAGAGCAAAUUAUUCACGCUCUGUUUUUCAGUUUCCUCAUCUGCACAAUGGAGUACCGAUUUUAUGAUGUGGUUGUGAGGAUUUAAGAGAUCAUCCACAGAGAAGUGCAACAGAGUACAGGGUCAGAAGUCAGCACCCC
rnacentral:lncRNA from 1 species